UUUUAAUUUAAACCAUUCAUCCUUACUAAUUGACCCAUUUUAUCUCAAAUAAUUUCUAUAAUCCCAAAUUUUACAAAUUUCCUCUUUCUUUUAACUAAAGUCUUGUCUGAGGGGCAUUUUUGAACUGUUCUGGUGUCUAGAAAUGUCCUACGCAUGCCCAUAAGCUAUAGGACAUCACAGGCCCAGCAACAAUAGCACCUUGGUGUCGCAUGCUUUUGACAAAACCAUUUGGUUAAUUUUUUU
rnacentral:lncRNA from 1 species